UACACUGUAAAAAAUUUCUGUAAAUUUACAGCAUAUUAACAGCGUAAAUAUACAGUACUGAACUGUUUUCUAAAAUUACGGUGUCUUACCGUAAAUGCACACGUGAUUGGUGGGAGAGGGGGAACCAAAGGCUAGCUGAGGCAUGGAGGAGCAUGGUUUCAGUCAAAGUUUUAUGGAUUUCAUCUCAAGUUGAGGCUCAUUUACAGGUAAGCAGAUCAAAGUCUGAAUACAUUUUUAUCUUAAACUGCAGCGUUUUUUUUAAUGUGGGCACAAUAUUUUAAUUUACCUUUGACAAAUCUUGCCAAGACAGUGAACUAGCAUCUAUGCAAUUUUUACAAAUUUCUCCUGAAAGUUAAGUGUGUAUGUGUGUUUGUGAAGGAUUUGCAUUGUUUUUUUUUUCUUUCCUGGUGUAAAAUCCUGUAAAAAAAAAAAACCUUGUAAAUAGUUAAAUAUAAAAUACUUGCGUUCGCUGAUUAUUUCAUUGGAUAUGAAUUGAACAUAUUCGGCAACGGUAGAAGAUGAGCACGUGAUCGGUGGGGGAGGGGAGCAACGGUUAGCGUCUGAUACCAGAGAAAAGCAUCAUCAGUCUCAGUGAAUAAAACGGAUAUUAUCUCAAAUAUAAUCUCGAUUACAGAUUGCAGAUAACGAGGAUAUGAAGUUGCAGCAUCUGCAUCUGAGGUUGAGAAGACACUCAAUCUACCUGCCAAUCCUCAUCUGAUUUUGCUGGGUUAGUGUGUCAUUGCACAUGAUGAAGAAGAAACAUUUACUGAUGGCUGAGAUAUAAAAUUGUUAACCUUGCUGUUGUGCACAAUUGUUAAAAUUGCUUCUUUUUUUUUUGUGAGUGUCCAGUCAACAUUUUUGACUGCAGUUGCAACAGUGUUUGCUGUGUACUACAUCUUCAACCUGCAGUAUCAAGAGGCGGCUUGUUGCACGUUAGAAUUUUUUCAAAGAUGAUUCUAUGGAAUAAACCCAGAAAGAGGCUCAAAGACCUGCCGAGGCAAGGUAGUCUCCAAGAAGAUGGGGAAGGUGGUGAAUAAGAAGUCCACUACAGUCAAUCCAAAGGUUGCCACUCUACAAAAAAAUCGAAUGGACUUCAAAUGGGACUUCA